rnacentral:rRNA from 1 species
ACAUGUGGAGCGCUUAGAAGUGAGAAUGCCGGUGUGAGUAGCGAAAGACGGGUGAGAAUCCCGUCCACCGAUUGACUAAGGUUUCCAGAGGAAGGCUCGUCCGCUCUGGGUUAGUCGGGUCCUAAGCUGAGGCCGACAGGCGUAGGCGAUGGAUAACAGGUUGAUAUUCCUGUACCACCUAUAAUCGUUUUAAUCGAUGGGGGGACGCAGUAGGAUAGGCGAAGCGUGCGAUUGGAUUGCACGUCUAAGCAGUAAGGCUGAGUAUUAGGCAAAUCCGGUACUCGUUAAGGCUGAGCUGUGAUGGGGAGAAGACAUUGUGUCUUCGAGUCGUUGAUUUCACACUGCCGAGAAAAGCCUCUAGAUAGAAAAUAGGUGCCCGUACCGCAAACCGACACAGGUAGUCAAGAUGAGAAUUCUAAGGUGAGCGAGCGAACUCUCGUUAAGGAACUCGGCAAAAUGACCCCGUAACUUCGGGAGAAGGGGUGCUCUUUAGGGUUAACGCCCAGAAGAGCCGCAGUGAAUAGGCCCAAGCGACUGUUUAUCAAAAACACAGGUCUCUGCUAAACCGUAAGGUGAUGUAUAGGGGCUGACGCCUGCCCGGUGCUGGAAGGUUAAGAGGAGUGGUUAGCUU